UGGAUGCCAAUAGUAGUAGUCAGUCCGGUACGUCUGCACAAAUCUGCAGAAAAUGUAAAUCAAAAGUUGUCAGUGCAUUAAAAUGUAUAUCGUGUGAUAAUGUGUACCACCUUAGUUGUGCCAAGGGUGUAUCUUAUGUAAAAAUUUUGGACAGUAAGUCUUUAGUUUGCUGUGAUAAAGUGAAAAUGCCUCCUGUUGUGUGCGAAGAUUCUGAGUUUUUUGAAGCAAUGGAACAAAUGAGUGGACCUGAGAAAAAGGUUGAUAUUGCUGUUUUCAAUUAUAUUAUUAAACAAAAAGACGAAAUUAUAAAGGAGCUAAGGGAUCGUGUAAAAACGCAAAGUGAGAUGAUAGACAUUUUGAUAAAAAGUUCGAACAACUUGGGAGGCUCCACUGAUUGUAGUUUAUCAUCAAUGGACGCUUUUUCGAGUAAGAUUAUGAAUAAAAACGUGAGUGGUGUGGAAGCAAGAAAAGUGGUAAACAAAAGUGAACCUGAAAUACGGAACACUAUUAUUUAUCCUAAUACGAAUUCAUGUAAUGAAGUUGAUCUAAAUAAUUCUUCAGACAAUGGUAAAAAUCCUUCUGAGAAGGAGGUAACAGGUGAUACUUUAAAACGUCGGCCGAAAGUUCGUCAGAUUUGUCAUCGAGUGAUCAUGAUUUC